AAUUAAGAAAUAUUUACAAUUUAUUUAACAUCAGUGUAAUAUUUGUUUAUAACAUUUUAUAUGCAAAAUAGAAAGCUUUCUUUUUCAGUUGGCAUCUCAAUUAACCAAUGGCAUUAAAGGGAGGGAUGGAUAGUUUUCUAAAUCUGAUACAGACACCUCCCAUGAUUGAAUUGAUCAUUGUUACUAUUUGGUUCCCAUAAUGAGUAAAUUUACCCAUUUAUUUGGUUUCUGGAACAAAAAAAAAUAGUGAAAAAACAAUGACUUACCAACCUCAUCCAGAUUCCCUAGUUUUGUUUCCACAGAGAAGAAUAUUCUCAUAAUUCAGGUGUUCUCCUUUAAGAUGAAUAGAGAUAUUAAUUUGAUGAAGUGGUAAUAAUUAUCCAUCAUGGCUUAAAUGCAGAUGGGAAAAUGAAGACGGUGUUUCCCCUAAUUGAGGACAGCCAUUGAAUUACUUUAAUUGUCAAUGUAUCCUCUAAAUUAGCAGGAUAAGUAUGUGAGCAGGACAUAGUUCUUUUGUGAUAUCUCUAUGACCCUUUAUUUGGAGAGUGGAUUGCUCCCUUUUAGAAUUUCACAGCAGACACAGUUAAUGGUCUACAUUCUUUCUUUGUAUUUAUUAACACAAUCUAUGGUUCUUGUUAGCAAUAAGCUAAGUUAAAGCAAAACAAAAUAGAAGAAAAUAUGUAAUUUAUUAUUAUUUUCAAUUGUUUGGUGAGUUGGUGAUGAGAUUUAAACUUUCUUUUGACUGGAUGGCUAAGAAACCACAAUUUGUGAUGUUUAAUUGACAGGCUUCCUUUUAUCCAUGCCCUUUAUUUUUUGAUAAUACAGCUAAUAUAGCCAAUAUCAGAGAAGAGAUAAAGAAGAUCUGGAUUGAUAAAACUUCUGAUAUGUUGGACUGCCUAUUUCUGUAUUUUUCCAUGAAAAAACAUACUUGUAAAUGUUGAUGACAUUUGUCAUUAUAAUUUGGAUACUUAUACAUGCAGCUGAACAGAAUGUCAGAUGAUACUGUCUAAGUCACAUUUACACAUAAACAAGUAUUUAAUUCUAAGACCUACUCAUCAGAAAAAAAAAAUCCAAAUUUGGAAUGCUACAUAAAUAAUCAGAGAAUCACAAAACGUAAGGGAAACAAAUGAUCAAACUCACAAAUCUCAGGCAAAAUAUUAUAUCUAAUACAUAGAUAAUGCCAUAUCAUAAUUGUAAAAAAUGUUUAGGACUUGUAUAGAUUGUAAAACAUCAUUUAUUAAAUAUGGCAAGUUAAGGCCUAAGCAUUUCUAGUAUUGUUAAAAAACAAUGUCAUAUACCUAGUUUCUGUGAGAAAAAUAUCUGUAUCUGACUUACCUAUUAAUACUAUGCUAAUUAAAAUAUAUGGACAUGAAUUCAGAGCAAGAGCCAAACCUUAAAGCAAGAAUGAAAAAGAACUGUAAGAUGUAAAAUAUAUUGUGAUGAAAAACCUAUGUUUUAGAGUAAUUGAAUAUGAGGUUUGAAGAAGAAUUUGUCUUCAGAGAAUAAACUUUAAAAAUCAAACUAGACAGUUGUGUUUUCAUAUGCACUCAGUUCAAAAUAUUUUCUAAUUUUCCUUUUGAUUUCUUGUUUGAACCAUGAGGCAAUUGUUUGUCACAUCUCUGAGAAUUUUCAAGAUAUUGAUUUCUUAUUUAAUUCUAUUGUGGUUAGAAAACAUAUUUGUCGUAACAAACCUGCACGUUGUGCACAUGUACCC
rnacentral:lncRNA from 1 species